CGCGAGGGCGCGAGGGCGCGGGCGGCGGGGCGGGGGGAAGCGCGGAGAGCCUAGGAGGGCAGGCGGUGGUGGGGCUGCCCGCCUCGCCGUCCGCUUCACGCCGCCGGCCCACGCCGCAGUGUGUUUUGUGGACGGCGCCUUCCCAGACAGCCCGGUAGAGCCCAGCUCGGCGCCCGGCAGCCUUCGUCGCGAUGUUCCGCCGGAGCUUUAAUCGUUUUUGUGCUGGAGAAGAGAAAAGAGUUGGUACACGCACAGUGUUUGUUGGCAAUCAUCCAGUUUCAGAAACAGAAGCUUACAUUGCACAGAGAUUUUGUGAUAAUAGAAUAGUCUCAUCCAAGUAUACACUUUGGAACUUCCUCCCAAAGAAUCUGUUUGAACAGUUUAGAAGAAUUGCAAAUUUCUAUUUUCUCAUCAUUUUCCUUGUACAGGUCACGGUAGACACGCCAACGAGCCCCGUUACCAGUGGACUUCCGCUUUUCUUUGUUAUAACUGUUACAGCCAUCAAGCAGGGAUAUGAGGAUUGGCUGAGACACAGAGCUGACAAUGAAGUCAACAAAAGCACUGUUUACAUUAUUGAAAAUGCAAAGCGAGUGAGAAAAGAGAGUGAAAAAAUCAAGGUCGGUGAUGUAGUAGAAGUACAGGCAGAUGAAACCUUCCCCUGUGAUCUUAUUCUUCUGUCGUCCUGUACCAGUGAUGGGACCUGCUACGUUACUACGGCCAGUCUUGACGGGGAAUCCAAUUGCAAGACACAUUAUGCAGUGCGUGAUACCAUUGCGCUAUGUACAGCCGAAUCCAUUGAUACCCUCCGAGCAGCAAUUGAAUGUGAACAGCCUCAACCUGACCUCUACAAGUUUGUUGGGCGGAUCAAUAUCUAUAGUAAUAGUCUUGAGGCGGUCGCCAGGUCUUUGGGACCAGAAAAUCUCUUGUUGAAAGGAGCUACCCUAAAAAACACCAAGAAGAUAUAUGGAGUUGCUGUUUACACUGGGAUGGAAACCAAAAUGGCUUUGAACUACCAAGGGAAAUCUCAGAAACGUUCUGCUGUUGAAAAAUCCAUUAACGCCUUCCUGAUUGUGUAUUUAUUCAUCUUACUGGCCAAAGCUGCAGUGUGCACGACUCUAAAGUAUGUCUGGCAAAGUACCCCAUAUAACGACGAACCUUGGUAUAACCAAAAGACUCAGAAAGAGCGGGAGACUUUGAAGGUUUUGAAAAUGUUCACUGACUUCCUGUCAUUCAUGGUUCUAUUCAACUUCAUCAUUCCUGUCUCCAUGUAUGUCACAGUAGAAAUGCAGAAAUUCUUGGGCUCUUUCUUCAUUUCAUGGGAUAAGGAUUUCUAUGAUGAAGAAAUUAAUGAAGGAGCCCUGGUCAACACAUCAGACCUUAAUGAAGAACUUGGGCAGGUGGAUUAUAUAUUUACAGACAAGACUGGAACGCUCACGGAAAACAGCAUGGAAUUCAUCGAGUGCUGCAUAGACGGCCACAAGUAUAAAGGCGUAGCUCCGGAGACUGAUGGACUCUCUCAAACUGACGGGCCCUUAACGUAUUUUGACAAAGCGGAUAAGAACCGAGAAGAGCUCUUUCUGCGUGCCUUGUGUUUAUGUCAUACUGUAGAAGUUAAAACAAGCGAUGCUGUGGAUGGGCCUCCCGAAUCUGCGGAAUUGACGUAUAUGUCCUCUUCGCCAGAUGAAAUCGCUUUGGUGAAAGGAGCGAAAAAGUACGGGUUCACGUUUGUAGGAAUUCGGAAUGGCCAUAUGAGAGUAGAGAACCAAAGAAAAGAAAUAGAAGUGUACGAACUCCUUCACACCUUAAACUUCGAUUCUGUCCGCCGUCGUAUGAGUGUAAUUGUGAAAACUCAAGCAGGAGACAUACUUCUCUUUUGUAAAGGAGCAGACUCUGCGGUUUUCCCCAGGGUGCAAAAUCAUGAAAUUGAGUUAACUAAAGCCCAUGUGGAACGUAAUGCUAUGGACGGGUAUCGGACACUUUGUGUAGCCUUCAAAGAAAUUGCUCCAGAUGAUUAUGAAAGAAUUAACAGACAGCUCAUUGAGGCGAAGAUGGCCUUACAAGACAGAGAAGAAAAAAUGGAAAAGGUUUUUGAUGAUAUUGAGACAAAUAUGAAUUUAAUUGGAGCCACUGCAGUGGAAGACAAGCUACAAGAUCAAGCAGCCGAGACCAUUGAAGCUCUGCAUGCAGCAGGUCUGAAAGUCUGGGUGCUUACCGGGGACAAGAUGGAGACGGCCAAAUCCACCUGCUAUGCGUGCCGCCUUUUCCAAACCAGCACUGAGCUCUUGGAACUGACUACAAAAACCAUCGAAGAAAGUGAAAGGAAGGAGGAUCGAUUACAUGAAUUGCUGAUAGAAUAUCGGAAGAAGUUGCUGCAUGAUUUUCCUAAAAGUACUAGAAGCCUUAAAAAAGCAUGGACAGAACAUCAGGAAUACGGAUUAAUCAUCGAUGGCUCCACAUUGUCACUCAUACUCAAUUCCAGCCAGGACUCCAGCUCUAACAACUACAAAAGCAUCUUCUUACAGAUCUGUAUGAAGUGUACCGCGGUGCUCUGUUGCCGGAUGGCCCCGCUGCAGAAAGCCCAGAUUGUCAGAAUGGUGAAGAAUUUGAAGGGCAGCCCGAUAACACUGUCGAUAGGCGACGGUGCCAACGAUGUUAGUAUGAUCUUGGAAUCCCACGUGGGAAUAGGUAUUAAAGGCAAAGAAGGUCGCCAAGCAGCCAGGAAUAGCGAUUAUGCCGUUCCGAAGUUUAAACAUUUAAAGAAAUUGCUACUGGCUCACGGACAUCUAUAUUACGUGAGAAUAGCACACCUUGUACAGUAUUUCUUCUACAAGAACCUUUGUUUCAUUUUGCCACAAUUUUUGUACCAGUUCUUCUGUGGAUUCUCACAACAGCCGCUGUACGAUGCCGCUUACCUUACAAUGUACAACAUCUGCUUCACAUCCUUGCCCAUCCUGGCCUACAGCCUACUGGAACAGCACAUCAACAUUGACACCCUGGCCUCGGAUCCCCGACUGUAUAUGAAAAUCUCUGACAAUGCCAUGCUCCAGUUGGGGCCCUUCUUAUAUUGGACGUUUCUGGCUGCGUUUGAAGGGACAGUGUUCUUCUUUGGGACCUACUUUCUCUUUCAGACUUCAUCCCUGGAAGAAAAUGCAAAGGUAUAUGGAAACUGGACUUUUGGAACCAUUGUUUUUACAGUCUUAGUAUUCACUGUAACUCUGAAGCUCGCCUUGGAUACUCGUUUCUGGACGUGGAUAAAUCACUUUGUGAUUUGGGGUUCUUUAGCCUUUUAUGUAUUUUUCUCAUUCUUCUGGGGAGGAAUUAUUUGGCCUUUUCUCAAACAACAGAGAAUGUAUUUCGUAUUUGCUCAAAUGCUAUCUUCUGUAUCUACAUGGUUGGCCAUAGUUCUUCUAAUAUUUAUCAGCCUUUUCCCUGAGAUUCUCCUGAUAGUCUUAAAGAAUGUAAGAAGAAGAAGUGCCAGGGUAACGAAACGCCUCCCUUCCUCAGGAACAUCUACUAUCUUCAUGCUUUCUCAAACUUCCAGCAAUCACAGUUUCUCUUGGAGUGAAUAAGGUGAUUUCCUUUCUUAAUGUACCGACUUGCCUGCGUUCUCAUUUGCUUGACACCAUUUUUCUGACUCUUUAUGAACGAUGACUUCUCAGUGCGCAUUUCUCUACCUUCUGUUGACACUUAAGAGUAUUUUGUCAUUUUCCUUUAAUCAUUUGUUCACCUUCUCAAAUGGUCACGCUGGAGAGGAGGUGAUGUUCGGACACUUGGACCGUAACUCUCUAGCCCCAUUGAUUCCCGGUGCACAGUGGAAGCCACGGCGUGCUAGAGCUAGGGUGUUCACGGAGACAGGAAUGUUUUGCACAAAUCUCUCUUUGCUCGAUACACUCACAGCACCGGCCCAACUCUCAGAGGUGUUCACCAAAAGGAUGAAUCCGAAUCUUGAACUGCCUAUGUUAUUGUCCUACAAGCAUAUUGACAGUGGUUACAGCUAAAAAAGAAAGCACGAAGACACAACUACGAAAAGUUGUCAUCUCAGGAUACGCAAUAUGCAACAAACUAAACCCCUCUCUUGUGUCUAGGGUUCAGAAUAAAUGUCCAUUACAAUACCAAAUGACUCUCUUAAGCAUUUACAGUUAUCGUAAGUAGCCGUUAUGGCCAAAGCUCUAAGUUAUGAAUCCUAUGAAAGUUGAAAACGAGAAGAAUAAUUAGAAUGUCUGGCUUUAGAUAGACGACUGUAACUACCAAGUGGGUGCUCUUUUAACCCAUGAACUCUGUGAAUGGAUUUAAAUAUAAUAGUAUAAAGUAGAAGUCAUACAAUGGGAAUGAAUAGAUUUUGCUAAUAUUACUUUUUUUGCCUGGCAGAAGACAUAGGCUGUCUGGAUCACAUUUCUUGUUCCUGCUGAGUGAUAAUCUUAAGUUAUUUUUUUUUUUCAAACAUCUGAAAGGAAUACUUGAAAAUACAAGAAGACUAAAUGGUAUCAGUGCAUCAGAAUAAUUCGUCCUUUCUGUUCACCCACAUGCUAAUUCUGUCCUCAUGGAAUAGCCUUGCCAAAAACUAACCUUGAACCCUUACGUGGAAAGAGUGUGAAUCCUGGAUAUUUUUGUGAGAAUCAACAAAAAUUCCUUAUUUUUGUUCUUCUGAAUUAAACCCCACUUAAUGCGUGGAUGGCUACCAGAUUAUUUUCAAAAUAAAACAUUUCCAGUCACUUAGUAAGUAGCCCCUCGAAAGAGUUAAGAUCUAACGGAUAUUUUCCAGUAUUCAUUUUCCUGGGGUCUGAGGUGGGAUAGGCAAAACCAUAGUCACAUAAAACUAAAGCCAUCUGAGUAUCCGUGUUUUAUCAUUUCCUGUGGAGAGGUGAAAAAAUAGCUUAUUUCCAACUGUUAACGGUUAUUUUUGGAAAGAGACUGCGUUUGUACAUCCGUGCAGCACUUUUGUUUUGAGCUUGCCAGUUCGGGAAGGAGGGAUCCGUCCCGAGACCGCGAUUCGGCCUGCGCAGCCAUGACUCUGAACUUGAAUGUUUUCGCUUAGCAAACAUGGUUAGGUGACGGUCUGACUCUCAACCGUGAGAUUCACCUUGGUGAAGGCCUUGACUUCCUGGACUAGGAGGAGGCUUUAGCCUCCUACGGAGUUCACUGAACACAUCAGAAUAAAUGUGAAAUAUCUUUAUUAAAUGUCAAAAUCAAACACAUUUUGGGGGAUAAAAAUGGCUACAUUUGACUACUAGCUUGAAAGGGGCUCUUAAACAGUGUUUUCAGAAGCGCCUGGCCGCCUCCGUCGGUAGGCCACGCGGCCCUUGGAUCUUAGGGUCGUGCGUCUGAGCCCUGUGUUGGGCAUAGAGAUUACUUUUCUAAAAAAAUGUUUUCAUACCGGUUUCCUUUUUGGGGUGUCUUUCUGGCAUGCCCGCACUAUUAUUCGUGUUUCUGUUGUACCUUGCUUUAGGAAAGCGUUGGACCCAAUCUGUACCGGUGUAUUUCUGUGGUCCGUGUGGCCCAUUUGAUUCUCCCAUAUAUAAUUUGGGUCCGUAUUUAGGUGUCAUUUUUCUUGAAUUCUAGGAAGGACAUAAUUCCGGUUACCGGAAACCAUUCCAUCGUCGUGACCCUUUUACGUUAUUUCAUUUGUUCUCGUCUAUCAGUAUUAUCUUUGAGUCUUUUGUCGGAUGUCCUUCACAGCUUACCUGAGUGCGCUGUGUUCUGCUAGCCUGUGUUUGAGGUAAUCUGCUGAAAACAAAGUCUGUACAUUCUUUGCCUAUCCCAAAGAGCUCAAAAGUCAGACCCAGGAAAGCUUCUGACGUUUUUUGUUGUUCUGCUGCUUGUUGCGGCUGUCGCCGUGUUGUUGCCCAUGUUUUGCAGAAGUGCCGUGUGGGAUGUGAACGCACGCGAGAGACCCGCAAUACAGAGAGAGGCCCGUUGAACGCACACCACCGGAGAGUGGCCUCAUCAGAAUAUGCAGGGUAGCGGACAUGUAACUGGUGGCGUGGCGCAUUCCUUGCCGCCAGGAGGGUGACUGAGGGGGGCUUAAGGUCCUAUCUCAGCUACGCGUUACGCCGCAGCUCAAAUUCACGAUGGUGAUCGUCGUGGCCUAGAUCCUUGGGAGGGACCUGACUUUGCUUUUGUGAAAGGUAUUUUAGUAACGAGCUAAGUAAGAACUGGUUAGCGGGGGAUUAGGCGGACGGAACAACUCGAAGUAAGCCGUCCCCCGGUGUUCCUAGCGCGACAGUCUAACCACCUUGUUUUGUGACAGAGAAAGGGGGAGAAUGUAAUAGCAGGCUCACAUACACCCAUCAUUGGAACCACUCUAAACUGUCAAGAUGUCCUUGUAAUUUUCACAACCGUCGUCCCUUGUUUGAAGGUGUAACCUACUGAGCGUAAACCAUAAAUUCCCUCUCUACAACAUCUACACCAGCAGCAGUAUAAAUGUAAGCCAAAAUUUGCAAGAUCCAUAAUAAUUUCGUGAUGGAAUUUUUUUAAUAACACGCAGUGUAGAAAUGUGCAGAUUUUAUGCAAGUGUUAACCAAAUCACUUUUCAGCUUGCAACAUGGGACUGCAAUACUACAUUUUUCACUUAAGCAGUUUUUUACAUCCACGUCGUUGCUUUCUAUAAUGACUGUGAAUGCCAUCUUUUAUGAAUGCAACUUGCCUUUUUCAUUACAGAGAUUUUUGUUUGAUGUAUCAAUAAACUUUGGUAUGAUACGAUU